rnacentral:rRNA from 1 species
GAUGAACGCUGGCGGCGUGCCUAAUACAUGCAAGUCGAGCGAACAGACGAGGAGCUUGCUCCUCUGACGUUAGCGGCGGACGGGUGAGUAACACGUGGAUAACCUACCUAUAAGACUGGGAUAACUUCGGGAAACCGGAGCUAAUACCGGAUAAUAUAUUGAACCGCAUGGUUCAAUAGUGAAAGACGGUUUUGCUGUCACUUAUAGAUGGAUCCGCGCCGCAUUAGCUAGUUGGUAAGGUAACGGCUUACCAAGGCAACGAUGCGUAGCCGACCUGAGAGGGGGAUCGGCCACACUGGAACUGAGACACGGUCCAGACUCCUACGGGAGGCAGCAGUAGGGAAUCUUCCGCAAUGGGCGAAAGCUUGACGGAGCAACGCCGCGUGAGUGAUGAAGGUCUUCGGAUCGUAAAACUCUGUUAUUAGGGAAGAACAAAUGUGUAAGUAACUAUGCACGUCUUGACGGUACCUAAUCAGAAAGCCACAGCUAACUACGU